rnacentral:rRNA from 1 species
AAAGGAAUAGACGGGACCCCGCACAAGCGGUGGAUCAUGUUGUUUAAUUCGAAGAUACGCGAAAAACCUUACCAGGCCUUGACAUACUUUGCGAAGCUAUAGAGAUAUAGUGGAGGUUAACAGAGAUACAGGUGGUGCAUGGUUGUCGUCAGCUCGUGUCGUGAGAUGUUGGGUUAAGUCCCGCAACGAGCGCAACCCCUAUUGCUAGUUGCCAUCAUUAAGUUGGGGACUCUAGCGAGACUGCCAGUGACAAACUGGAGGAAGGUGGGGAUGACGUCAAAUCAUCAUGCCCCUUAUGGCCUGGGCUACAAACGUGAUACAAUGGCUGUAACAAAGAGAAGCGAGAGGGCGACCUUAAGCAAACCUCAUAAAAGCAGUCACAGUUCGGAUUAGAGUCUGCAACUCGACUCUAUGAAGUCGGAAUCGCUAGUAAUCGUAGAUCAGAAUGCUACGGUGAAUACGUUCUCGGGGUUUGUACACACCGCCCGU